CAACUAUCUAACUUGCCCAGACGUCCUCCAUUCCUCCCACGUCAGAGCCUGCCUGCUCCUUUCCUGAAACAUCCAUCACACUCCAGACUUUGCCUUGCAGCCAUCAGACAUACCAACUCUGGCCUCCCCACUGCAAAACCCAACUUGGAUACAGGGAGGAAGCAUUGCUGCCUGGCAUGUUUCUACCAUUCCUGAGGACAUCCUGGGGCAGAAAGUGGCACUUGAAUGCCAGAAGGCCUGCAUACCUCUGCUAGUCCAGGCUCCAGCACCUCUCUGCUGCCCAGAAGAUAUCAGCAUCUUGGGACUGAUGGGGAAAUUCACUGUUCACUGCUUUAAUGGAACUUUCUGAUAUGGCAUUAUAUCCAUUUGGUUGAUUUUCUCCUCUGCAGCUGAUAUUAGUUUUAUACAAAGAUUAUGGAGUGAGUGUUCCUAGACUGGAAGACAUGGGAUUACUCUGUACUUGGGUUUGUUUGAUCCUCAUUAAUUCCUUUCCCCAAAAACAGUGACAUCCUAAAGAAGAACUACUGCAAAUGUCUCAUUCUCUGCACAGGGGCAUAACUUCCCAGUGAGUUUGUUUUCUGCUUGCUAGCACUUACUAAUGCCUAAAAACAACUUCUGCAAGAGGAAAGCACGAGGCAGCAACUCUUUGCCCAUGCAAUUACAGUGAUUGUCUACACAAAUCAAGUGUUUUUGUAUGCAAAUGGCCAGUAAGCAUCUAGUGGAUGCAAUGGCUUGAAUUUCAAUUUGCAGUGAAUAGUCACAUAUGCAAACACGUGUUAAAAUGUGUAUAUAUUAAUAUCUUACAAUCAUCAACCUCCUUUUCAAAUAUUAUUUGGCUCACGUCAUUUAAAAACUCUUCAGUGUGCCAUAUGUAACCUCUUACAAGUGAAUAGUGAUUCUUCUAAAAGUAAUGAUGACUGUUAACUCCCAGUCACUGCAAUGCUUCCAGAUACGGUAGGAAGUACAUUCCCAAUAAUUAGUAAUUAGCAGUAACUAUUUUAUGGAGCAGAAAAGAGUUGAUUACAGUUGUUUUAUCAGAUGGUAUAAUAAUAGAAAAAAAUCUUGUUUCAGAGAAAGGAGGAAAAGGGGUGAUUUCACAAAGUUGGCUCUCACUUGCCAGCCGUCCAUCACUGAAACUACAGCUUCAGGGAUCAGGAAUUAUUGAUUUCAAAGGGAUUAACUCUCAGCUACAGAUAGUUCAGUUUCAGGGCAUCAUUUGUAAGCUGAGCUGUAGCCAUAAACCAGCUGGCACUGGGGGCCUGAUCCAAAACUCACUCAAAUGACUCGGACAGCAAUUUCAGGGGGAUCUUUGGGUUAAUAAGUCCCCAGCUGGGAGGGCAGCUUGAGAGAAGUCUCCGUUCUCAGAGCAUCUGGCACAAGGGAGAGGCCCAUUUAAAGACAAUUUCUUCAAGGCACAAGAAAAGUGGUUUCUGAAAUGAGGAAGGGGCUUGUUUCAUCAAAGUGAGCUACGUGCACCCAGCUCACGUUAAUUCCUUCACAGCCUCUACUGCCUUUUGAGCUGGCAGAGGAAGAAGAGCAGGUAAACAUCAGGUCUGCUCACACCAGGCUCUCCCUUCUAACGCUUACUGAGUUAAUUAAUUUUUGCUCAAUUUGAUUUGACAUUCAGAUCUGUAAUAUGUUUAUCCUUCUAAUGGGCACUUCUCCCUUUUCCUCGCUGCCUCUCAAAGAUUUAAUAAAUGACGG
ensembl:lncRNA